UACGUAGGGUGCAAGCGUUGUCCGGAAUUAUUGGGCGUAAAGAGCUCGUAGGCGGUCUGUCGCGUCGGAUGUGAAAACCCAGGGCUCAACCCUGGGCCUGCAUUCGAUACGGGCAGACUAGAGUUCGGUAGGGGGAGACUGGAAUUCCUGGUGUAGCGGUGAAAUGCGCAGAUAUCAGGAGGAACACCGGUGGCGAAGGCGGGUCUCUGGGGCCGAAACUGACGCUGAGGAGCGAAAGCGUGGGGGAGCAAACAGG
rnacentral:rRNA from 1 species